rnacentral:rRNA from 1 species
AACGCUAGCUACAGGCUUAACACAUGCAAGUCGAGGGGUAACAAGAGAAAAGCUUGCUUUUCUUGUUGACGACCGGCGCACGGGUGAGUAACGCGUAUCCAGCCUGCCUAUAACUAGGGAAUAACCUUGCGAAAGUAAGACUAAUACCCUAUGAUUUCCUUUGAUGACAUCAGAUUAGGAAUAAAGAUUUAUCGGUUAUAGAUGGGGAUGCGUCUGAUUAGCUUGUUGGCGGGGUAACGGCCCACCAAGGCAACGAUCAGUAGGGGUUCUGAGAGGAAGGUCCCCCACAUUGGAACUGAGACACGGUCCAAACUCCUACGGGAGGCAGCAGUGAGGAAUAUUGGUCAAUGGGCGGAAGCCUGAACCAGCCAAGUAGCGUGCAGGAUGACGGCCCUAUGGGUUGUAAACUGCUUUUAUACAGGAAUAAAGUUAGCCACGUGUGGUUAUUUGUAGGUACUGUAUGAAUAAGGACCGGCUAAUUCCGUGCCAGCAGCCGCGGUAAUACGGAAGGUCCAGGCGUUAUCCGGAUUUAUUGGGUUUAAAGGGAGCGUAGGCCGUCUGUUAAGCGUGUUGUGAAAUGUAGAUGCUCAACAUCUGAAUUGCAGCGCGAACUGGCAGACUUGAGUGUGCGCAACGUAGGCGGAAUUCGUGGUGUAGCGGUGAAAUGCUUAGAUAUCACGAAGAACUCCGAUUG